UACGGAGGGUGCGAGCGUUGUCCGGAAUCACUGGGCGUAAAGGGCGCGUAGGCGGCGCGGGGAGUCAACGGUGAAAGCUCGGCGCUCAACGCCGAGUCGGCCGUCGAUACUCCCGUGCUUGAGCACUGUAGAGGCAGGUGGAAUUCCUGGUGUAGCGGUGAAAUGCGUAGAUAUCAGGAGGAACACCUGUGGCGAAAGCGGCUCACUGGACCACAACUGACGCUGAGGCGCGAAAGCUAGGGGAGCAAACAGG
rnacentral:rRNA from 1 species